rnacentral:rRNA from 1 species
AGUGAACGCUGGCGGUAGGCCUAACACAUGCAAGUCGAACGGCAGCACAGUAAGAGCUUGCUCUUACGGGUGGCGAGUGGCGGACGGGUGAGGAAUACAUCGGAAUCUACUUUUUCGUGGGGGAUAACGUAGGGAAACUUACGCUAAUACCGCAUACGACCUACGGGUGAAAGCAGGGGAUCUUCGGACCUUGCGCGAUUGAAUGAGCCGAUGUCGGAUUAGCUAGUUGGCGGGGUAAAGGCCCACCAAGGCGACGAUCCGUAGCUGGUCUGAGAGGAUGAUCAGCCACACUGGAACUGAGACACGGUCCAGACUCCUACGGGAGGCAGCAGUGGGGAAUAUUGGACAAUGGGCGCAAGCCUGAUCCAGCCAUACCGCGUGGGUGAAGAAGGCCUUCGGGUUGUAAAGCCCCUUUGUUGGGAAAGAAAAGCAGCAGGUUAAUACCCCGCUGUUCUGACGGUACCCAAAGAACAAGCACCGGCUAACUUCGUG